GUCCAAUCAGGGACUUUAAUAAAACGAAGCCUGCCAGCCCAGGGCGCUACCCAUUCGCUGCGCGCGGAAGACCGAGAGUUCACGCCGGGGACAAGGGCGACCCGGCCGGGGGUGGGUGGGGAGUGGGGGGUGGGAUUCCCAACCCACCGGGGCUGCGGGCCCCCUUUCAUGGCGCCUUUUGUUGGGCUCGCCCUGGCGCGGGAGUGGCGCGAUCAGGUGCUUGGCCACGAGCCGGGCAAGCGGGGUCCCUGCCCAGGACGGACGGCGCGCUGCCGUGGGUGGAGCUGUCCCACAGGGGCCGGGCCACACCCACUCUGUGAGUCUCUCGCAGUGAUUAUGACGGAAGGAAGACAUACCAGAACCAAGUGCUGGCUCAGAGGUGUGGACCUAGUCUUGAAGCCCUGUGAUGAACAGAAUCUGUUUCCAGUGUCUCUUGGUGCAGCCCAUGGUGACGUGGCCUGUCUUUCAACGCCGCAGUUCUGCCACUAGAAGAGAAACUGGCUGGGAUUUUGCCCAGGGAAAGGACAGCUUGGGUCGGAUCACCCUCCUGGCACCUGUCAGCCAUGACCAGCGUGUGUGUGCCUGUGGAAGAGUCCCAGGGUAUCGAGGCAGUCAAACUCACCAAGGGAGAGAGGAAACUUUGAGAAAACAGUUCCACUAUCCACGGAAACCAGCGACGGCCAGAUGGGCCCCUCCACCAAAUUCUAACCCAUGGUUUUUACUUACCUAUGAAAGCUGAUCGUGUCGGAUCAUAAAUUCCUAGUUCACUGAAGUUAAAAAGUGUCUUUCUCAUAAAAAGGCCCAUAAAGGGUAGUGUUUAAGUGGGGCUAAUAAUAGUGGCACCUCAUAGAACUCCCGUGGGGAUUAAAUGACGGAAUUCAGGUACAAACCGUGUGCCGGGCACACAGCAAGCUGGCUGUCAUUAUGCACGCGAGGAGAGCCCUUCUGAAGGUGUUCACCUAAAGUCUCCAUCAUUUCCUGGCAUGCAUGGUGACUCCCUGAGGGCCGCAGAAGCAGGGUGUCUGGUAGGGGCACAGAUCUGCAUGUGUGUACCUGUUUGUGUGGGGUGGGGAGGUGGGUGUCCCAUGCAGGAUGGGAUUUGCUGCCCCUCCCCUAAAUCUUCCAUCCCUAACUGACAUAAAAGUGAAUUUGUUUCCUGAGAAUCUUGUUUCCUCGGAGAAGAUCUGCUGUUCCUGGGAAGUGGUUCAUUUCAUCAAACCCCAAAAUGAUUUCAGCUGUCUCAUGGAAUAGGCGUGUCCCAUCGUCAGCCCUGUGGCCACCUCUCUGGCACUUCCGGGAAACACAGACAGCCUGCUGCGUGGGGCAGCUCCGUCCCAGCCCAGUUCCUUCCAGACCAUCCCGACCUGUGGACCGCAGGCUCCCCGAUCCCUUGCGGUGACCCCCAGUGCCGCUACAAACCCCGCUUGCCCAAGAAGGGCUGUGCAAAGGAGGCAUAUGGUUUUUAUAACUGACAAGACGUGUGGAUUCAUUGCAACGGCCAGAACUGGCAUGCAAGUGAACGCGGCACAAGAGGAGCUUGGCUGUGGCCGUGCCGGCUGCCGGGGGCCACCAGCAGGUCCCCUCGCUUCUCCCGCAUAGCUGCCUCGUCUCUGAAGUGGAAAUGCUGUGGAUCUGGAGCCAUCAAGGAGACCAGGGCCGUGAAUGGCCUUUGCACGUUGACACGCU
ensembl:lncRNA